AUUGAACGCUGGCGGAAUGCUUUACACAUGCAAGUCGAACGGCAGCACGGACUUCGGUCUGGUGGCGAGUGGCGAACGGGUGAGUAAUGUAUCGGAACGUGCCCAGUCGUGGGGGAUAACGUAGUGAAAAUUACGCUAAUACCGCAUACGAUCUAUGGAUGAAAGCGGGGGAUCGCAAGACCUCGCGCGAUUGGAGCGGCCGAUAUCAGAUUAGGUAGUUGGUGGGGUAAAGGCCCACCAAGCCAACGAUCUGUAGAUGGUCUGAGAGGACGACAAGCCACACUGGAACUGAGACACGGUCCAGACUCCUACGGGAGGCAGCAGUGGGGAAUUUUGGACAAUGGGCGAAAGCCUGAUCCAGCCAUUCCGCGUGCAGGAUGAAGGCCCUCGGGUUGUAAACUGCUUUUGUACAGAACGAAAAGGUUUCUACUAAUUCUAGGAGCUCAUGACGGUACUGUAAGAAUAAGCACCGGCUAACUACGUGCCAGCAGCCGCCGUAA
rnacentral:rRNA from 1 species